AUGUUCCUUAACUCCUUACAUGUCUCGAGAGAAAUAACAUCAACUGAUGUGAUAAUUUCAACAAUACUAUAUAGCGGCCCAACUAAUCCUUGGAACAAUUUUUCUGUUUCAACCAUGAUUCUUAAUCAUAAAUCGGUUGCAACAUCUUCAUGCAUAAUCCAUACCACCGCUAACUCACUGUCACUUUCACAAUAA